rnacentral:rRNA from 1 species
CCUACGGGAGGCAGCAGUGGGGAAUAUUGCGCAAUGGGGGAAACCCUGACGCAGCCAUGCCGCGUGAGUGAAGAAGGUCUUCGGAUUGUAAAGCUCUUUCAACGGGGAAGAUGAUGACGGUACCCGUAGAAGAAGCCCCGGCUAACUUCGUGCCAGCAGCCGCGGUAAUACGAAGGGGGCUAGCGUUGUUCGGAAUUACUGGGCGUAAAGGGCGUGUAGGCGGUGCGAUCAGUCAGAGGUGAAAGCCCCGGGCUCAACCUGGGAAUUGCCUUUGAUACUGUCACACUAGAGUUCGGGAGAGGGUAGUGGAAUUCCCAGUGUAGAGGUGAAAUUCGUAGAUAUUGGGAAGAACACCGGUGGCGAAGGCGGCUACCUGGACCGAUACUGACGCUGAGGCGCGAAAGCGUGGGGAGCAAACAGGAUUAGAUACCCUGGUAGUCCACGCCGUAAACGAUGUCUGCUAGUCGUUGGGGGGCGCAGCCCUUCAGUGACGCCGCUAACGCAUUAAGCAGACCGCCUGGGGAGUACGGCCGCAAGGUUAAACUCAAAGGAAUUGACGG